AGGAAGGGAAACAACCCACUCCGCCACAUGGAGUACAACUCUGGGAAUGAAAAAGGUACGUCCAACUCGACGUUCUCCUUGUCAAAUUUUAUCUACAUGAUGCUAGCGGAAUCUCAGCCAAAAUUGGAGCCUUAUUUCGCCCAAAAUCGGGCUACUCCAAUGGGUCGGCUUAAGACCGAUCUCCCGACGACAUUAUGCAUGCUCCGCUCGUCAAAUCUCCACAACUCGUACAAGUCUUCACAAAUUAGGGCCCAACUCGGCCCCCAUACCUAGACUCCGAUGUCUAGCUGGGAAAAUGAUCCCGACUGCGGGCGUACCAGUCGAACACAAAGAUGCCGAGGCAAUCUUUGAAAGUUCCAGCCUUGCUCACCGAAAUCUCGGCAGAGUCCGAGAACGAUAACUAUGAAAACCUUCGGCGAUAAUUCGACUAUUAGCCCGCGCUCCCUACGAAGGACCCGGGAGUCGAGUUCGGAAACCCGACUAGAUUCCCCGAAUAGCGGCACGAACAGACCUAGCCCGGUCUUACUUGAAGGGCUAAGGCCCGACCCUGAUGCCUUGGGAACCUAAAGGCCAGGCACGGCAACUUCUGCGAUUCUAAGAUCCGAGUUAUAGGACUUAGAGAAAUUUUCUAGAAACCUAAGCUCGGAGCUCCCUUUGGUCGGAAUGGCUGAAAUCCGAGAAGG
rnacentral:lncRNA from 1 species